AGUGAACGCUGGCGGUAGGCCUAACACAUGCAAGUCGAACGGCAGCACAGUAAGAGCUUGCUCUUACGGGUGGCGAGUGGCGGACGGGUGAGGAAUACAUCGGAAUCUACUUUUUCGUGGGGGAUAACGUAGGGAAACUUACGCUAAUACCGCAUACGACCUACGGGUGAAAGCAGGGGAUCUUCGGACCUUGCGCGAUUGAAUGAGCCGAUGUCGGAUUAGCUAGUUGGCGGGGUAAAGGCCCACCAAGGCGACGAUCCGUAGCUGGUCUGAGAGGAUGAUCAGCCACACUGGAACUGAGACACGGUCCAGACUCCUACGGGAGGCAGCAGUGGGGAAUAUUGGACAAUGGGCGCAAGCCUGAUCCAGCCAUACCGCGUGGGUGAAGAAGGCCUUCGGGUUGUAAAGCCCUUUUGUUGGGAAAGAAAAGCAGCAGGUUAAUACCCCGCUAUUCUGACGGUACCCAAAGAAUAAGCGCCGGCUAACUUCGUG
rnacentral:rRNA from 1 species